CGGGAGCGAGUAAAGCGGCGCACGGGUGAGUAACGCGUGGGUAAUCUGCCCGAAGGUCUGGGAUAACUCCGGGAAACUGGGGCUAAUACCGGAUGAGACCACGCUGUCUGCGGACAGCGCGGGAAAAGGUGGCCUCUGCUUGCAAGCUACCGCCUACGGAUGAGCCCGCGUCCCAUUAGCUAGUUGGCGGGGUAACGGCCCACCAAGGCUGAGAUGGGUAGCUGGUCUGAGAGGACGACCAGCCACACUGGAACUGAGACACGGUCCAGACUCCUACGGGAGGCAGCAGUCGGGAAUUUUGGGCAAUGGGCGAAAGCCUGACCCAGCGACGCCGCGUGAGGGAUGAAGGCCUUCGGGUCGUAAACCUCUGUCGGAAGGGGCGAAAGGUUCUUGGGCGAAUAGGCCAAGGGCUUGACGGUACCUUCAAAGGAAGCGCCGGCUAACUCCGUGCCAGCAGCCGCGGUAAUACGGAGGGCGCAAGCGUUGUUCGGAAUUACUGGGCGUAAAGCGCGUGUAGGCGGCCUGACAAGUCGGGUGUGAAAUCCCGGAGCUCAACUCCGGAACUGCAUCCGAUACUGUCAGGCUCGAGUCUCGGAGAGGAUGGCGGAAUUUCCGGUGUAGCGGUGAAAUGCGUAGAGAUCGGGAGGAAGGCCGGUGGCGAAGGCGGCGCUCUGG
rnacentral:rRNA from 1 species